rnacentral:lncRNA from 1 species
UAUUUUAUUUGAUCAACUGAUCUCCAUUGGGCAAGCACUUGCUUCGAACGUAGUUCGCCCUUAAGCUGACUUAUUCUGAUGGCUGAUUUUCACUGGGCUUCACUUGCGGCUUUGGCGAUCGCAUCCCUUUCCUUGACUAGUUUAUGCUUAUUGGCAAUAUAAUCACAUAAAUUUAGUCGAGAACCUUCAUGGAUAUGAUCCAUUUCAGUCGAGAGGUCCUCACACUUCUUCAUCAUGACCAGCAGAUCCUAUUCGGCCUUGGCCAUAAUUUUUCUUGCUCUGAUAAGCGCCUUGUGUAGCACAUCAACUUGUGGUUGGAUGGGCAAUGCCGAUCUUAUGAUUGAAAAACUGGUUCGUUGCCUAUGUUGACCCGACUGAAAGCAAACGGUAAACAUCAGGAAAAGCCAUUUUCACAAAAGAGGGUAAUGCUAAUAAGAAGAGAAAAUAAAAUUUUCUUUUUCAUUAAUUCAAAAUAUUGUUUACAUUGCUCGGGCAUAAAUAGAUAUAGUUGUCCUAAGUUUUUCUAACCUUAGUCUGGGCCACGA